GAUGAACGCUGGCGGCGUGCUUAACACAUGCAAGUCGAACGGAAAGGCUCCUGCUUUCAUGUUUACUCGAGUGGCGAACGCGUGAGUAACACGCGUGUGAUCUGCGCUGCACUUCGGGAUAAGCCUAUUAAACUGGGUCGAAUACCGGGUAUGACCACAUUUGUUGUGUGGUGUUUACAAGUACUUCGGUGUUGGAUGACCGCGCGGCGGAUCAGCGUUGUGUUGGGGUAAUGGCGUCCUAAGGCGUCGACGGGUGGCCGGCCUGAGAGGGUGUACGGCCCCAUUGGGCUAGGGAAGGGGGCAGGAGUGAUACGGGAGGCAGCAGCGGGAAAUUGUGCAAAAUGGGCGGCAGCAUGAUGCAGCGACGCCGGGUGGGAGAUGACGGCCUUAGGGUUGUAAACUCCUUUAGAUAGGGAAGAAGAGCAAGUGACGGUACCUGGAGAAGAAGCACCGGCUAACUACGUG
rnacentral:rRNA from 1 species